CCUACGGGAGGCAGCAGUGGGGAAUAUUGCACAAUGGGGGAAACUCUGAAGCAGCGACGCCGCGUGAGGGAAGAAGUAACUCGUUACGUUAAGCUCUAUUAGUAGGGAAGUAACACUGACCUCAUGGUCAGCAGACGGUAUCUGAGUAAGAAGCCCCGGCUAACUACGUGCCAGCAGCCGCGGUAAUACGGAGGGGGCGAGCGUUAUCCGGAUUUACUGGGUGUAAAGGGAGCGUAGACGGUGCGCCAAGUGUGGGGUGAAAUGCCGCGGCUUAACUGCGGAACUGCCUUGGAAACUGGCGAACUAGAGUGCAGGAGAGGUAGGCGGAAUUCGUGGUGUAGCGGUGAAAUGCGUAGAUAUUAGGAAGAACACCGAUGGCGAAGGCAGCUUACUGGACCGUAACUGACGUUGAGGCUCGAAAGCGUGGGGAGCAAACAGGAUUAGAUACCCGAGUAGUC
rnacentral:rRNA from 1 species